ACAUGGAUUUGUAUUUAUGGCAGGCCCAUCCCCUUGGGUCUUUCAUAGUGCCCCAUGCCAGAGCAAACUGUGGCCUUGAACCAUUGCCUGGCCUCAGCCGAUAGGCUGCAGGAACAAAACAAGACAUGAAUUC
rnacentral:snoRNA from 1 species